UUUUAUUUGAGAGUUUGAUCCUGGCUCAGGAUGAACGCUGGCGGCGUGCCUAACACAUGCAAGUUGAGCGAUUUACUUCGGUAAAGAGCGGCGGACGGGUGAGUAACGCGUGGGUAACCUACCCUGUACACACGGAUAACAUACCGAAAGGUAUGCUAAUACGGGAUAAUAUAUUUGAGAGGCAUCUCUUAAAUAUCAAAGGUGAGCUAGUACAGGAUGGACCCGCGUCUGAUUAGCUAGUUGGUAAGGUAACGGCUUACCAAGGCGACGAUCAGUAGCCGACCUGAGAGGGUGAUCGGCCACAUUGGAACUGAGACACGGUCCAAACUCCUACGGGAGGCAGCAGUGGGGAAUAUUGCACAAUGGGCGAAAGCCUGAUGCAGCAACGCCGCGUGAGUGAUGAAGGCCUUCGGGUCGUAAAACUCUGUCCUCAAGGAAGAUAAUGACGGUACUUGAGGAGGAAGCCCCGGCUAACUACGUGCCAGCAGCCGCGGUAAUACGUAGGGGGCUAGCGUUAUCCGGAUUUACUGGGCGUAAAGGGUGCGUAGG
rnacentral:rRNA from 1 species